rnacentral:rRNA from 1 species
AGUUUGAUCAUGGCUCAGAGCGAACGCUGGCGGCAGGCCUAAUACAUGCAAGUCGAGCGGGUCCUUCGGGAUUAGCGGCGGACGGGUGAGUAACGCGUGGGAACGUGCCCUUUGGUACGGAACAACUGAGGGAAACUUCAGCUAAUACCGUAUGUGCCCUUCGGGGAAAGAUUUAUCGCCAUUGGAGCGGCCCGCGUUGGAUUAGGUAGUUGGUGAGGUAAAGGCUCACCAAGCCUACGAUCCAUAGCUGGUCUGAGAGGAUGACCAGCCACACUGGGACUGAGACACGGCCCAGACUCCUACGGGAGGCAGCAGUAGGGAAUCUUGCGCAAUGGGCGAAAGCCUGACGCAGCCAUGCCGCGUGAAUGAUGAAGGUCUUAGGAUUGUAAAAUUCUUUCACCGGGGACGAUAAUGACGGUACCCGGAGAAGAAGCCCCGGCUAACUUCGUG